UAUAUUUGUGUGGAAAAAUAUGGCUUGUAAGCGGAAACAUUUUAGUUCUGCUACAUGUGAUACUAAUGGCUGAAAUUAUGGAGCACGAGAUUCAAGUCUCAGAUUUUUGGCUUCAUGGAGACCAAGCUUCUGGAUUGUAAGACUAGCUUUGUCGUAGUGUGGCUUUGGUACUAAAGUAUUUGAUACCACAGCAAUAUAGUUUUUAUACCACAGGAUUGAAGUUUUAGAACAAUAUUCAAAUUAUAAUGUGAUGGUACCAAUGCUAAAGCUAUAUAGUAUCAAAGUGAAAAACACAUGAUACCAAGGAAGUGUGUAUGGUCCAGUGGUCCACACAUUGCACCAUAGAAAUUUUCCUUUUUGUUUUAUUAGGUGUAAUGAGGGUUUCAUGGAUCACCUUCUGGAACUGUGUUCAACUGAGGGCUUUUGAUGAUUUUCGCCAUCUUCAUCAGGCAGUUUAACUGCAGAAUAAACACCUGCCCCGGCAAGGGCACCAAGGAUGGGGGCAGUUAGGUAGAUCCAUAUAGCUCUGUAGUUUCCUGCAGCUAUUGCUGGUCCGAGAGUUCGUACUGGGUUCAUUGAAGCUCCAGUUGUUUGCCUGAGCCAUGAAGAGUAGAGGCUUAAUGUGUGAGAACUUCCUGUAGUAGGCUUCAGAUAUCUUUUUUAUGUUCCCAAUAUACCCUUGGGUGAUGCUUUACUGUUGCGUCAACCCAGACUUCAAUUUGAACAUCUAUAUAAAUUUGUCAUAUGUAAUACAGAUUUUUUCACUUUUGCUAACC